CGUGAUCCAUGAUCGACGCAGUCCAAAACAAUGGCGGGCAAAGACAAAGACUUGAAAAAGCAUGGAGAGAAGCAUGGCUGAGAGUAUUAUGAUCAAACCCCAUAGGGGGCGAAGGUAAAGGGGGAGGGGAUUGGAAAAGAAGCGACAGACCUAAGGGUGCAGGAUUGGGAGAAGGGGAGGAAAUCGAAAAAAAGGUAGUUGUCGGGAGGAUUGGUGGGAUCGAAGAAUAAUUUUAGAUUUUUAAAGUUCAAUCACUAGCUUGAUGGUCUGGAUCAAG
rnacentral:lncRNA from 1 species